rnacentral:rRNA from 1 species
GUGGGGAAUUUUGCACAAUGGGGGCAACCCUGAUGCAGCGACGCCGCGUGAGCGAUGAAGCCCUUCGGGGCGUAAAGCUCUUUCGACCGGAACGAUAAUGACGGUACCGGGAGAAGAAGCUGCGGCUAACUCCGUGCCAGCAGCCGCGGUAAUACGGAGGGUGCGAGCGUUAUUCGGAAUUACUGGGCGUAAAGCGCGUGCAGGCGGGCGGGCAAGUCUGAUGUGAAAGCCCCGGGCUUAACCUGGGAAGUGCAUUGGAAACUGCUCGUCUUGAGUACUGGAGAGGAAGGGGGAAUUCCGGAUGUAGAGGUGAAAUUCGUAGAGAUCGGGAGGAAUACCAGUGGCGAAGGCGCCCUUCUGGACGGUAACUGACGCUGAGACGCGAAAGCGUGGGGAGCAAACA